GAGAGCCAUUGCGCCGUGAAAACGGCACGCAUGGUUCGGAGAGGAGCCCGACUCGCCCGAAGUAAGGGCGGUCGGGCUUACUCUAC
rnacentral:ncRNA from 1 species